ACUUAGCAGAAUUAUUAUAUUUUUAACUGCAUCAUGAUAUAUUAUAAAACUUCAAUGUUAAAAGGUUAGGUCUUUUUUUAAAAACUGAACUGAUUAAGGAGAAAAGCCGUCGUAACACUUGUAAAUCUAAGCCGGUAGCUUUGUAGUCCAUGUACACAACGCCACGGGAACAAAGAGCCACCCCUAUGGACCAUUGAUCAGGGCCUUUUAUUGGGUGGUCGCUCUCGGGCAGAACUCCCGGGGGCAGGUGAGCAAGGAAGCGACGGGGGGUCUGCAAAGCAAAGGGAGUCUGCGAGGUAUGAGGGGUGGGGAAGGGUUUUAUAGCCCGGGCUGGGCUCCCAUAUAAGGAAGAAAACGCGGGCUCAGCAGUGAUUGGUGGCCAAGGGCUCCGUGUCGGCUUCUGAUUGGACGGCGAGGGCUCCAUGUCAGCUCCUGAUUGGACGGCUUGGUUGUCGGCCCGCCUCCGGGGCUUGUCUGCGGCUCUCUGCCGGGACAUGCCCAGGCAUGCCUCAACACGCCCGACCUUGCCCUGACCUUUCACACAGCAAAUAAGAAUUUGCUUACCCACCUUUACUUACCUUUGCUGACCCAAAUAAGAACGUAUUGUAUCCUAGGCAUUUUAUAUCACUUAAUUUAUAUAGAUUUAGAAUGGUUUAAAAAUUUUUUCUAUUUGGCACAGUAGAGAAACGUGAACAGUACAAUUCUGACUUUGAUUUUUUCUGGCUAAACACUAUUGGGACAAUUAUUUUGUUGUUUGCUUCAUUCCAAUAUGCAGAUCCUGUAACAGGAUCUGCAUAUUGGAAUAUUUUCGAUACAUUUACAUAUGUGUGAAUAAAUAAUGAAUUAAUGUUUUUUAAUUAUGUCAUUUAAACAUUUUCUUAAAUGUAAAGUAUGCUGAUUUUUGACACCUUAACUAGGACUCUACCUGCACUGUGGGAGACCUGGGUUCGAUCCAUGGGUUGGGAAGAUCCCCUGGAGAAGGGCAUGAAAACCAGCUCUAGUAUUCUUGCCUGGAGAAUCCCGUGGACAGAGGAGCCUGAGAAGGAAAUGGCAGCCCAUUCCAGUAUUUCUUGCCUGGAGGAUACCAUGGACAGAGGAGCCUGGCAGACAACAGUUCAUGGGGUCACAAAGAGUUGGACAUGAUUGAGCGACUGAGC
rnacentral:lncRNA from 1 species